AAUAUUGGACAAUGGGGGCAACCCUGAUCCAGCCAUGCCGCGUGUGUGAAGAAGGUCUUCGGAAUGUCAAGCACUUUAAGUUGGGAGGAAGGGCUUUAUGCUAGUACCCUGAAGUUUUGACGUUACCAACAGAAUAGGCACCGGCUAACUCAGUUCCAUCAGCCGCGGUAAUAUAGAUGGUGCAAGCGUUAAUCGGAAUUACUGGGCGUAAAGCGCGCGUAGGUGGUUCAGUAAGAUGGGUGUGAAAUCCCCGGGCUUAACCUGGGAACUGCUUUCAUAACUGCUGAGCUAGAGUACGGUAGAGGGUAGUGGAAUUUCCUGUGUAGCGGUGAAAUGCGUAGAUAUAGGAAGGAACACCAGUGGCGAAGGCGACUACCUGGACUGAUACUGACACUGAGGUGCGAAAGCGUGGGGAGCAAAC
rnacentral:rRNA from 1 species